rnacentral:rRNA from 1 species
GACGAACGCUGGCGGCGUGCCUAACACAUGCAAGUCGAACGCUGCAGGAGGGGCUUGCUCUUCUGGAUGAGUUGCGCACGGGUGAGUAACGCGUAGGUAAGCUGCCUGGUAGCGGGGGAUAUCCGUAGGCAGCGAUAGCUAAUACCGCCUAACAGUAGAUGUUGCAUGACAUUUGCUUAACAGGUGCAAUUGAACUACUCCCAGAUGGAACUUCGUUGUAUUAGCUUGUUGGUGGGGUAACGGCUCACCAAGGCGACGAUACAUAGCCGACCUGGAAAGGUGAUCGGCCACACUGGGACUUGGGCACGGCCCAGGAUCCUACGGGAGGCAACAGGAGGGGAACAUCGGCAAUGGACGGAAGGCUGACCGAGCAACGGCGCGUGAGGGAAGGAGGUUUUCGGGUCGUAAAAGUCUGUUAUGAGAGAAGGACGAGUAGUAGGUUGAAAAGUUCACACUGUGACGGUAUCUGAAGAAAAAGGAACGGCUAACUACGUG